rnacentral:lncRNA from 1 species
UAUUAUAAUACUUACAUACGGUUUUAACACUUAAACACUUUAGCCCCCAUUUGGUGAGACCUUUUCGUUGCUUCUUUUCUGCAACUUUGCUGCCCCUUCUGUGCGUUCCCUUUUGUGAUACCUUCUGUGCCUCACCUUAUCGACAAAUUGGCUACUUGGUUCUUUCUCUUUCUACUUUGGUUUUUUCCCUGUUUUGCGGCUGCAUGCGGCCGCUUCUGCGUGAUUCGUUGGGCGGUUUCCUUUGUGGUUGAGCGUGAUUCUUGGUUCCUUCUUGUGGAGUUGCUUUGUAGUUAUUGGGUUAUUGAUCUGAGCCAUGUUCAACCAUUUUGCUGUCAAUCUUUGUGAUAAUUUAAUAGGAAGUCUUUAUCUUUAAUUCACAAUAUUAAUUCUAUUAUUAUUAUUAUUUAUUUGGAACUCACUGUAUGUUUGUUUGAUCGAUCGAAGGUUAUAUAUACUUCACAAACUGGUAUCAAAGCCUCCAGUGGGUCGAUUGCUUGCUGUUUUUCAAUAUUUGAUAGUUGAAAAUCGAAAUUGCUGUGUUCCGUUCAAUUGGGGCUUUGGUCUACUGAUUUUGCAAUAAGGACCUGAUUCUUAAUUAGAUUCGCAUCUCUCAUUGGUACGGACUACAAAUAGGUCGCUCUGAUAAAUUGGUUGAAACUCUUUAAAUUACUUCAAUAGCAAGUAAUCGUGUGUGGUGAUCAAUAGAAUUGCAGCCUUGCCUGAUUCUAGUAUUUUUAGGACUAUUUGUCUAAAUUGUAAUAUUAUCAUGUUUGUGGUUAUAUUGAUCGUUGUUUGAUUUCCAUAUUAUUUUUUAGCUCUUUGUGAUUAGAACUAUUACCUUUGACCUUACUCAGUCGAAAUUUUUUUUGAAACUAAGGUUCGAAUCUCAUGACAAUCCUAGGAAUUUAGAUCGGUGUCUAGCUCGACCUAUAAGACAUUCUUUGUGUGGUUCUCUUUUUGAAAGUUGCUUACACGCUACGUGUCUUAUUUGUUAAUAUGUUUGCACAUAUGGAUAACAAGGAGCCGAGCCAGCUCGCCACCAAAACUUGAAGCUUGAGCUCGGGUCUAGUAAAAAUGGUUUGAGCUUAUUUUGACUCGAGUCGAGUUCAGCUUUUGCUCAGCCAAAAAAUUUAGACUUGACCAGAGCUUUCGGAUUUGGCUUUAGCGAGCCGAGCUUACUUGCUUUUUUUUUUUUUUUUAAAUUCGUGGCGAAUCUAACGUUUUUUUUAAAGAAUUUAAAUUUUGUGCAAUUUAGACAAAUUAUAAAUUAAAUAAAAAUUACAACAUCCUCUUUUUUUGGGCUUGGAACCGACUAAAUUGUACAAGAAUAAAAUACUUCGUAUGCAAUUUUUUUUCAAACAAAUAAAUUUAAAAAUUAUGUAUUUUUUUUUUAAACUAAUCAAUUUAAAAACAUACAAUAUCCUAUGAUUUAAUCUACUGCAACUCUUUGACCAUUGUACUGUCAACUUCUUGAUCUUUUAGUGUCAAGUACUUCUUUCUCUUCAAUAUCCUCAAAUCAAUUGGAAUAUUUUGAAAUGCAUCAUAGUGAAUGAAGUACUUGAAUUACCAAUACACUAAUUAAUUUCGUUACUAAUAAAAUCCAUACGUGGCUAUUAUGGCAAAAGAUGAAUAUUAAAGUAAAAGAAACUGAAUAUUAAAAAAAAAUAUAUUGGAGAUUGAAGUUGAAACUAGAAUAUUGGAAGUUAAAAAUGAUUGAAGUAAAUUGAUAUGAAGCUCAAAAUUUUAAUAUAGCCAAAUGUGUUUCAAUCAAAUUUGAAUUUACAUAUGAAAUAUGGUACCAUAAAGCAACUACAUAGUGUAACUGCCGACUGUGUAUAGUCGGCAGCUUUUAUGAGCUGAAAAUGGCCUGUAUGGCUCAUCGAGCUACAUAAACUGGCUUGGGAUCGAGUUGGUGCCCCAAAAUGAGGCUUAACCAGAUCCACGAGCAAGGCCAGCUCAACUUUUAUCGGACCAAGCUAUUGCCAUUCAAGCUGACAAGCCAAAUUGAGACUCUAUCUGUGUAUCAUUCUGACUUGAGUGUCUUUAACGAUAAAUGUUAUUUUCUAUUUGGCAACAAAAGAUAAAUGUGAUUUUAGUAUAGCAAAAAGUUUGAAAAGUCAUUGAUAAUUCUUUUGCUACAAUUGUGUCUAAGGACCAGAAAAAUAAGGUUGGCAAACUUGCUUAUAUCUCUAUAAUAGUACACUUAUCAGAUACUAUUUUGCAAAAAGUUUCAUGGUGCUAUCAAAAAACUUAAGAAAAAGCUUGAGGAGCUUUAUUUGAUUCAAUUCAUGCCAGAGAAAUUCUUCUUACUUGAAAGCUUUUUCAGUUUCAAAAUUGAUCCCUCAAAAGAUUUAGAUGACAAUCUCGACAUUUUCAAUAAAUUGGUCCAAGAUAUUAAAAAUGUUUCAAAUAAAUAGAAAGCUAUUAUUCCUUUGAAUGUUAUUCCUAAUAAUUAUAAGGAUGUCAAGAAUGCAAUCAAAUAUGGGAGGGAGAUCCAUAAAUCCAAUAUAGUUUUUGAUUCCUUAAAGGCUAGGGAGAGGGAAAUCAAACUUGAAAGAAACGAGAGAAAAGUGGGAGAGAUUCACCAAAUAAGGGGUAGAACUCAGUUUAAGGAUGGAGAAGGGCAAAACAGUCGUGCUAGGAAAAAGUGGAGACGUUGAUCUAAGUCACAGAGAAAGACCAAGGAAAUGUUAUGGUUGUGGAAAAUUAGGACAUUUCAUAAAUGACUGCCAAAAAGAGAAACAACUUGAGAGAUCAGAGAGGUGAUGAACCCAAUGGGGCAAAGGUUGUUGUCAAAAGAGAUGAACACGUUAAGAUUUAAAUGCACUUAAAUAUAGAACCAGUUGAAAUAAGUCUAUCUAUAAACUCCCAUAUGCAAGAGUGGAUUCUUGACUCCAAUACUUCUUUCAUGUUAUAUCAAGAAUUAAAUUAAAAACUUAUUGGACUUACGCCCAAUAUUUAAUCUAAAUCUUCAGUCCAAAAAAACUCUAAAGGUCCAACAGUAGCAAUCUAAACAACAAUAGGUCUCUGUCAUCGUACUUAUAGAAAUUAAUUAAUUCUAAACCCAACUUAUCUAGAUUUGACCCAGUUCAUACCUAAACAAACCCAAAAAAGUCGAAGAAUUUACAGCACCAAAUGCAACAAGUUAUUGCACGGGCAGCAAAUUGCUGUUGUCUGCAUAGAAAAUUUAAUUAUUAUUAUUAUUUUUUGCUUUAAUUCUUGAAUGCUUCUUUAUCGUUUAUUCUUCAUUUUCAAUCAAUUAACAAGAUCAAACAACUAGGAAAAUUUAAAAAUUACAUAAAUCUUAUAUUAUGAAGAUUCACAAUUGUAAAUCUAACUUGAAAGAAAAUUAAAUCAAGAUAAUGGAGUAAUAAUCCACUAUCUUGUUAGAGACUCGAAAUAACGAAUUACAUCAAGAACUGCUCACAAAUAAUUGGAUCACAAUUUAAAAUAAACCAAUCAUUUCAUCAACAUAUAAUAUAUUAUUCUUAGACAUCACUUGACUAUGACAUGCAAUCAAGAUUCAAAAAUAACAAGCACGUGAACGAUUUAGAUUGCUCUCAUACCAGUUGAGGGAAUACGAAAAUAGAAUUAACUAGAAAUUUUUAAAAAACUAAUUCAAUAAAUAAGAUCGUCUAGAUAUUCAUAUAAAUGUUGUAUAUAAAAAAAAUAAAGGAUUUAAGUUUUUAUCUAAAUUUGAUAGUUAAUUCUUGAAUUAAUUUUGAAUUACGAGCUUCUAACUUUUUGGAUCACAAGCUUCUAGCUUUUUAAUUCCAAUAACUUGGUACUUCCAACCUCUAAGUCUUUUAUGAUAUUCUUCAAAGUCAAGACCAUAUCAGCAAGUGGACACCUUCUUUUAAUUAAAUCAAGAAACUAAUUCUUGGACUCGAUGAUUGAAUAAGAUAAGAAAAUAGUUAUUUUCUCUCACUUUUUUUCUCUAUAAAUUUGAACAUUGUGAAAUUAUGUAUUAUGAUUGUUCUUUUUUGUAGGAUGUUCAAAUUUCAUCUAAUUUCAAUUUAUAGAGAUAUAAUAGUUUCAAUCAUUGUACAAUAAUAAUUUCACAUUCAAAUAUGAGUCUUAAUUAAAAUUCAAGUAAAGUCACAUCCGAUUAGUUUAAAUUUAAUUAUAUUUGUAAUACUAGAAUUUCAAUUACAAUUAUAAUUAAGUUUACAACUUCAUAGCAACUACAAUUAAGUACAAAACUUUUAUUGUAAUUACAAUUAAGCUCAAACUAUUAUAAUUACGUCACAAGGACCUAAUCAAACAUAUAUCAUUCAAUCUCCAAUAAUUAGAUCUUGUUUAGUCGACCCUUGCCCACCCAAUCUAUUAUUAGUUUUUUUCUUUUCCACUAAAGACAAAAGAUUGAACUCUUGGAAUAUAUAAGAUCAUAAAAAUCAAAAAAUUUGUAAUACUUUCCUUUGACUUACCGUUUUACCCCUCUAGUUAUUCUUAUUAACUUGUGUACUGUUUUCUUCAAUGGUCUUAUGAACUAAUCACAUAUGUCAAAAUUUAACCCUCGUAAAAUACUGAGCUAUAAUUUUAACCAUUAAACAAAACAUACUUAAGUAGUUAUUCUACCCAUUUUCCAGUAUGACGGUUCCUGAUACAAAUAUAUAUUCUUUACUUCGCUCAUUCUUAAACUCCCAACUCAUUAAGAUAUUUGACCAGUCAAAUUGAUCUCACCCAUUGAUAAAUUAAAAGUAAUUAAAAUUAUGAAAAGAUAUACAUCACUCUGUCAAGGGAUUUAAAUUAAAUACAUAGUGAGCAAGUAAAAUUUAAUUCUCGACACAUACUCCGUUCAACAUACUUCAAGUGUAAUAAUGUCACCUUUGACUAUUUAUGCAAUAAAGACAAAUCACAAAUUUGAUAGUGUAUUGAUCAACACUACAACCUUCUACUGUAAGAUACCAGUAUCCAACUAUGUUACAUUGUACUUCUUAACGCAAGUACUCAACUUAUAUUAUUAUAAGUGAUUAUAGGAACUUUAAUUCGCAUGCUUAAUAAUAAAUAAAUACAAUAAAUAAAUAAAAUCACAAUUUAUUUAUUAUAAAUUAUUAUUAUAUCAUACUAAAAUAUACUAUAUGGGCACACAACCUAACAACAUGUUUGCAAGAUGAUUUCUUAUAUAGUUUGUAAGUCUUUGACUAAGUCAAUGAUCGUAUAUAGUUUGUAAGUCUUUGGCUAAGUCGAUGAACAUCUUAUCUAGACUAAAAAGUCUCCUUCGAAGGUGUUUAAGGUGUAUUAUUUUUAGAAUAAAGCUAGGCGCUAGUUAGGAAGUGUUUUAAGGGACAAUGUUUUCAGAAUAAAGCUCGGCGCCAACUGUUGAAGAAGCAAAGCCCAUGUGUUUCACUACUCUGCAUUAAUGUUGUUCGUUUUGGCAGGUGAAUUAAGAAGGGACUUGCACUAUUUUUGAUACAAGUUCUUAAGCACUAAACUUGGAAUCAAGAAGGGCGAUCAAUAGCAUAUGACUUUAUGCAAGGCUAGCUUCGCAAAGGGGUAUCGACGCAAUGCAUCUAAAUAGAUAUUUCAAAAUAUAUUUAGUCUUUAUUUUUAUAAGCCGUAAUUAAAGCUAUUGCAAGUUUUGAGUCUUUCUAAUUUAUGUAUGGUACCCUAGAUGUCCCAACAAAACUAGUUGGAAAAUAUGCCUAGUUGUCGCCUCAUUAUCACAACUUUUAUUGUUUAUUGUUGAGGUGGACCGAUAAUUAAGAAAUCGAAGUAUGAUGAUAUAAGCCUCAUCCGUUAUAAAAGUAUUAAUCAUGAAUUGUCAUAUAUGGUCGUGUCUAUUGCAGAAAUGAACUAGG